UACGUAGGGUGCAAGCGUUAAUCGGAAUUACUGGGCGUAAAGCGUGCGCAGGCGGUUCGCUAAGACAGAUGUGAAAUCCCCGGGCUUAACCUGGGAAUGGCAUUUGGGACUGCAAGGCUGGAGUGCGGCAGAGGAGACUGGAAUUCCUGGUGUAGCAGUGAAAUGCGCAGAUAUCAGGAAGAACACCCGUGGCGAAGGCGGCUCUCUGGGACGGUACUGACGCUGAGACGCGAAAGCGUGGGGAGCGAACAGG
rnacentral:rRNA from 1 species